rnacentral:rRNA from 1 species
ACCCGUCUUGAAACACGGACCAAGGAGUCUAACAUAUGUGCAAGUUUGUAGGUUGAAAGUGAAACCUAAAAGCGUAAUAAAAGUAAAAGCCGUUUUUAGCGGCGAAAUACGAUCUUUGUUUCUGUAAACGGAUUGGCGAAGUAUUGUCCCAUCUAUGCGGUUCGUCCGCUAGGUGGAGAAAGAGCACAAAUGUUGGGACCCGAAAGAUGGUGAACUAUGCUUGAGCAGAACGAAGCCAGAGGAAACUCUGGUGGAGGUUCGUAGCGGUUCUGACGUGCAAAUCGAUCGUCAGACUUGAGUAUAGGGGCGAAAGACUAAUCGAACCAUCUAGUAGCUGGUUCCUUCCGAAG